AUUGAACGCUGGCGGCAUGCCUUACACAUGCAAGUCGAACGCGAAAGGGGGGCAACCCCCGAGUAGAGUGGCGGACGGGUGAGUAAUACAUCGGAACGUGCCCAGUAGUGGGGGACAACCUCGAGAAAUCGAGGCUAAUACCGCAUACGACCCACGGGUGAAAGCGGGGGACCGCAAGGCCUCGCGCUAUUGGAGCGGCCGAUGUCCGAUUAGCUAGUUGGUGGGGUAAGAGCCCACCAAGGCGACGAUCGGUAGCUGGUCUGAGAGGACGACCAGCCACACUGGGACUGAGACACGGCCCAGACUCCUACGGGAGGCAGCAGUGGGGAAUUUUGGACAAUGGGGGCAACCCUGAUCCAGCCAUGCCGCGUGCGGGAAGAAGGCCUUCGGGUUGUAAACCGCUUUCGGCCGGAACGAAAUCGCCGGGGAGAACAUCCCCGGUGGAUGACGGUACCGGAAGAAGAAGCACCGGCUAACUACGUGCCAGCCGCCGCGGUAACAC
rnacentral:rRNA from 1 species